CAAUGUGUCUCGAUUUAGUCUGUGCUUUGCCUUUAGAAGUGUCCAAUAAAUUGAAGUUUUUACGGGAUAUCCAUUGACCCGACCUCAAAGGAGUGAUGAUCAACUAGCGCAGACAGAGUGCAGAUCUUCAAUCAUGAUGGCUUGGCUGUCCAUCGCACUCAGCAGAGAUGUGUCAAUCAAUGAAUGUAGUAGCAUCGCAGAGUGGCCAGCAAUCUAUGACAGCUCACAUCAAAAGAUCAACUAACACUGACAGAGCUUCAGAUCUUCAAUCUUGAUGGCUGGGCUGUCCAUCGCACUCAACAGAGAUGUGUCAAUCAAUCAAUGUUGAAACACCGCAGAGUGGCCAGCAAUAUAUGA